rnacentral:rRNA from 1 species
UCAAAACCGCUAUGACUCGUGACCACUUAAUGGUCUGGUGCACUUUUGUGUCGGCUGGUUAACAUCAAUUUCGAUCAUCAUAAAAAGGCUGGAGGGAUGUGGCUCCUUCGGGAGUGUUAUAACCUUUGGCGGAAUGUGGUGUUUGGGAUUGAGGAUUGCAACGAAUACCUUUAGGGCUGUUCCACCUGGCCUCUCGUUGGCAUCCUGGCGGCGACAGCUUGCUGACGUCGUUAGGGUCCGCCUUCGAACAGGCUAGAGUGUGAGCAAA